GAUGGGCUAGGGCCAGGAUUUUCAAACUUGAGAAUAUUUUGCUGCCUGGAAGAGUAUCUGUAAACUGAUGAUAAUGAUGACAGUUGGCUGCAGGCCUCAGCAGACGCAUUUCCCAAGCAUUUCCAGACUUAAUGAGCCCAGAGAGCAUCCCGUGGGGCAGGGCAGUCAUGUUAUUACCAGAUUACGCUGGACAUGGGCAUGCGCCCGGCCUUCUCAGAUUUACUCGAGGACUUCGAUUUGGAAGAGAGCUGUGCAGAGUUGCAUGUGCAUGAGUUUUUCUGGGGAAUCCCAAGUCAGAGAAGCUGCAUUGCAAGAAAUUAGAUGUGCAUGGUGCAGGCUCUAGGCAAGCCAUUGCUGAUUGCACUUGCAAGAAACCAAAGCCUGCAUGAAAUUAGUUGCUGUAGCAAAGAGCCCAAGUUCUUACGUCUAUGGAGCCACCAACUAAUUGUCAUGUCAUCAUGACAUGGGCCACUGGGCCUCAGUUUGCCCAACUGUCAAAUGAGGACGUUGGGCCAAAUGGUAUCUGAGGAUGAUUUGGCCUCUGACUUUGGGUAAUUGCCCAACAUCUAGGAUGGGCUGUGAGGCACCACUUGGGUUGUCCCCACCUGGGAUCUUAGUGGCAUGAAGACGACACCUAUGACUGCAGCAACUGGAUUUCCAAGUCCCAAAUCAGAACACCCAUUACCCAAAUUGUUGGGUGACAAUAAAUUAUAACAGUAACAUCAAA